GGGGAGGGAGAUUAACCGAUUCAGAUCUAACGUUAGCAUUUUCUACUGCGGGGGUCUCACCAAUACUUUCAUUAGCUUCGUCUAAAUUAACCGCAUAUACUUCAUUUUUUUCUUCUAUACCGUAAUUAUCCUGAGCUGCUACAUAAUCCAUAUCGUAAGCAACUACACCUAUUUCUUCCUCAAAAGGUGUACCAAGCGGUACCGGAGGUGAAGACACACGAGUAUAUAUACUACUUGAACGACCUCUACCGCUAGUAAUUCGCUUUUUACUACCACUACCGC
rnacentral:lncRNA from 1 species